GACGAACGCUGGCGGCGUGCUUAACACAUGCAAGUCGAACGGAAAGGCCCUGCUUUUGUGGGCUGCUCGAGUGGCCAACGGGUGAGUAACACUUGAGUAACCUGCCCUUCACUUUGGGAUAACUUCAGGAAACUGGGGCUAAUACCGGAUAGGAGCUACUGCUGCAUGGUGGGGGUUGGAAAGUUUCGGCGGUUGGGGAUGGACUCGCGGCUUAUCAGCUUGUUGGUUUGGUAGUGGCUUACCAAGGCUUUGACGGGUUGCCGGCCUGAGAGGGUGACCUGCUCCGUCGGGCUGGAGAUACGGCACAGACCCGUCCGGGAGGCAACGGAGGAGAAGAUUGCAUUAUGCGCUGAACGAUAACCUGGCCCCGCCGCGUCGGGUAUGUCGGCCUGGCGUUAGUAUUGCGCUGUCCUCUGUCACGAAGUGUGAGUGACAGUAAUGGGUAAAUAAGCUCCGGCUAACUCCGUG
rnacentral:rRNA from 1 species